AAUCCAUGGUGAGGGCACCUUCUCAAAAGGUCAUUGUAUCUCUCUCGUGCAUCUAGAGUGUUUCUAAAUCCAUCUGCACAAAAGAAGAGAUAUCAUUACGUAAUU
rfam:Gossypium arboreum cultivar AKA8401 contig_85692_1, whole genome shotgun sequence.